GUAAGGUCUUGGCAGGAGAGAUACCAUGAUCACAAAGGUGGUAUUCCCAGGGUGAGGCUUAUCCAUUGCAUUCCUGAUGUGCUUACCCUUCUGAUUUCCCCAAAUGUGGGAAAGUUGACUGCACAAUUUGUGGUAGUGGGGAACUGCAUCUGCAUUCUCCCU